rnacentral:snRNA from 2 species
AUCGCUUCUCGGCCUUUUGGCUAAGAUCAAGUGUAGUAUCUGUUCUUAUCAGUUUAAAAUUGGGAAUUUAGUUGAGAAGAUUCUUUCUCAAUAUUCAUACAUUUUAUUAUUUUAAGAACUACCCUUU